rnacentral:rRNA from 1 species
CCUACGGGUGGCAGCAGUGGGGAAUAUUGCACAAUGGGGGAAACCCUGCUGCAGCCACGCCGCGUGAGUGAUGAAGUAUUUCGGUUCGUACAGCUCUAUCAGCAGGGAAGAAAAUGACGGUACCUGACUAAGAAGCCACGGCUAACUACGUGCCAGCAGCCGCGGUAAUACGUAGGGGGCGAGCGUUAUCCGGAUUUACUGGGUGUAAAGGGAGCGUAGGCGGCAGCGCAAGUGUGAUGUGAAAUCCCCUGGCUUAACCUGGGUACUGCAUUGGAAACUGUGCAGCUAGAGUGCAGGAGAGGUGAGUGGAAUUCCGAGUGUAGCGGUGAAAUGCGUAGAGAUUAGGAGGAACACCAGUGGCGAAGGCGGCUCACUGGACUGUAACUGACGUUGAGGCUCGAAAGCGUGGGGAGCAAACAGGAUUAGAUACCCGAGUAGUC